AGCAGCCGCGGUAAUUCCAGCUCCAAUAGCGUAUAUUAAAGUUGUUGCAGUUAAAAAGCUCGUAGUUGAAUUUCGGGGUUAGUAGGUUGGUCAUGCCUCUGGUAUGUACUGGUCUCACUGAUUCCUCCUUCCUGAUGAGCCGUAAUGCCAUUAGUUUGGUGUUGCGGGGAAUUUGGACUGUUACUUUGAAAAAAUUAGAGUGUUUAAAGCAAGCUAACGCUUGAAUACAUUAGCAUGGAAUAAUGAAAUAGGACGUUCGAUCCUAUUUUGUUGGUUUCUAGGAUUGACGUAAUGAUUAAUAGGGAUAGUUGGGGGCAUUAGUAUUCAAUUGUCAGAGGUGAAAUUCUUGGAUUUAUUGAAGACUAACUACUGCGAAAGCAUUUGCCAAGGAUGUUUUCAUUAAUCAAGAACGAAAGUUAGGGGAUCGAAGACGAUCAGAUACCGUCGUAGUCUUAACCAUAAACUAUGCCGACUAGGGAUCGGAUGAUGUUAAUUUUUUAAUGACUCA
rnacentral:rRNA from 1 species